UACGAAGGGGGCUAGCGUUGUUCGGAAUUACUGGGCGUAAAGCGCGCGCAGGCGGUCCUUUAAGUCAGGGGUGAAAGCCCAGAGCUCAACUCUGGAACUGCCUUUGAAACUAGAGGACUUGGGUACGGGAGAGGUGAGUGGAAUUCCGAGUGUAGAGGUGAAAUUCGUAGAUAUUCGGAAGAACACCAGUGGCGAAGGCGGCUCACUGGCCCGUUACCGACGCUCAGGUGCGACAGCGUGGGGAGCAAACAGG
rnacentral:rRNA from 1 species